AAACCCAAAUUUCGCCACGUUCCCAGAACCGAAAUCCAAACUGAAUCAACAUCCUUCUAUCCCUCCCUUUUUCUCUCUCACUCUCGAUCUUCCAUACCGCUUCAACUCAGAGGUUGCUUUCACCAUCUGAAUCGUCCGUUGUGGUGUUGCUCCAGCAGUGUUGCUGUUUAGGGCCGGCUUCGGAUGUAAAUGAAGUGAAUCGGUCGCUUGGGGCUCCCAAUUUUUUAGGGUUUUUGAGUUCUUCAUAACAUUUAUACAGAGAAAGGGAAAAUAAAGCAUCAUUUGGAGGAUUUUUGCUAGGAAUUGAUGUUGAUUUUUGUAAGAAGUUGCAAAGAAUAUGCUGUUUGUAAAAGAGGGAUGAGCUGUUGAAUUAGACAAUGUUGUAGAAGUCGGAUUAGGUGGCCGAUUAAUCGGCGCCUAGGCGGUAAUCGGUGAGCCAUAGCCUAAAAAGUUGCAAAUCCGUUAAAAAAAUCGGUCCCGGUCAAAGACGGUCAAAAUCGGACCUAGUCGGAGUAAAUCGGAAGAAAUCGGACUGAUCGGACCCAGAAAUUCAUACUCACUCCACAUCUUUACUUCAGCAAAAGUCAUCCCAUAAGAACCUUUACACUUAAUUGAGCAACACUACUUCUUGGACAAUUUUUGAGAGACUUUUGAUAUCCGCAGCCAAGCUACCAGUGAAGCAAAAGGUGGGAUGUAGAGAACAAAGUUAUUAUGGUUCAUCAUUAGUGGUCUCUGUUCAUCGCCUUGAAUCAUCAGCCUUGAAGUUCUGCAGAUAUCCAAACGAACCAAGCUUCAUGUUCUGAUUUUCAAAAGUCAAAAAUCCUAUUUUGCAAUAGUCAGCCGUUGAAGUGUGAAGGAGCAUGCUUCAACUCCAAACAAGUCUUAAUCUAGUGGCAGAUAACACUCAACUUGCUGUCAUAUGCAAAAAUCAAAGCAUUUUUUCCAAACGGGGUUCAAUCUACUUGAAAGCCAUGGGCCACUGCCAAUCACGGCUCCUUGACCUUGUGGUUCAUGGGAAUAAGCCACUACCCUUGUCCAUUCGAGCAGCUCUCAAAUCCCUAAUUGAGCAGACCAGAUUAUUCACACCUGGUGAAAAUAGAUUUGAUUACAUUAUUUGUGAGUCUAGCUUGUGGCCUUGGGUGCAACUUUCAUAUGAAAGUUGUUUUGCAGCAGCUACAAGACUAUGCAAAGAAGAUUCAGACGGCAGUGGAGGCCAGCAAGUGCCAUCUUCCGGAUUAAAUACAUCAAGUAUCGGCAAGAUAUCGGCAGGAAUGGUAUGAUAUCUAGACUAGCAAGCCAACAAUGGUUUAGACGUGUUCAGGCAAGAUUACGGCCACUAGAAAAUGGUUCGUGUUAGGGUUUUUCGAUGGCACACCUCAACAUCCCAAUGCAACCGGGCUUAGUACGGUUUGUUGUGAAACAUGAUAUCGCAGCCAAAGCAACAAUUAUCAAGUCAUGCAUGUAUCAAUGGAUGAAACUCACCUAAUUUAAGUGGUAACCAUGAACGUGAUGUGCCUGGAAGUAGAUCUUUUUAUGACGGUAAUGACUCGGGUGGUGAAUGCGGUGUCCCAUCUGAGACAACCAGCUGAGACAACAUGAGAAGAACGUUUGCAUACAUUUUAUCUUCGAGGUCUUGUAUGUUCUCAACACACUCAUGCAGACAUUUCAAAAUAAAGUGCUUGCUGAUGCUGUCAAAAGUUAGAUAAAAUGGGUUAACGAUGUAUUAUGGACCUAUCGUAACAUUUAUAUUUUCAUGGUCAUAUCAAUGGUUAAGAUCCAACUCUUGAUUCUCUUGUUAAGUUGACAAGCCUUUUGAUUAUUUAUGAUUUUACUGCCUUGUAGUUUACAUUUGUUUCAUGUAUUAAUCAAAUUGGCACUUUGUUUCAUGUAUUAAUCAAUGGUGACGUUUGUGACAUUA